rnacentral:tRNA from 1 species
CGGGAUCGUGGAUGCGCACUGCCACUGAGGAGUCCCAUAGUGGGACGGAACGGCCGUCCAGUACUUCCAG